rnacentral:rRNA from 1 species
UGGGGAAUUUUCCGCAAUGGGUGAAAGCCUGACGGAGCAAUACCGCGUGAGGGAGGAAGGCUUUUGGGUUGUAAACCUCUUUUCUCAAGGAAGAAGAUCUGACGGUACUUGAGGAAUCAGCAUCGGCUAACUCCGUGCCAGCAGCCGCGGUAAUACGGAGGAUGCAAGCGUUAUCCGGAAUGAUUGGGCGUAAAGCGUCUGCAGGUAGCUAUGCAAGUCUGCUGUUAAAGAGUGGAGCUCAACUCCAUAAGGGCAGUGGAAACUGCGUAACUAGAGUACGUUCGGGGUAGAGGGAAUUCCUGGUGUAGCGGUGAAAUGCGUAGAUAUCAGGAAGAACACCGGUGGCGAAAGCGCUCUACUGGGCCGCAACUGACGCUCAGGGACGAAAGCUAGGGGAGCGAAAGGGAUUAGAUACCCGUGAAGUCC